UGGGGGAUAUUGCACAAUGGAGGAAACUCUGAUGCAGCAACGCCGCGUGAGGGAAGAAGGUCUUCGGAUUGUAAACCUUAGUAGUCAGGGACGAAAGAAAUGACGGUACCUGAAGAGUAAGCUCCGGCUAACUACGUGCCAGCAGCCGCGGUAAUACGUAGGGAGCGAGCGUUGUCCGGAUUUACUGGGUGUAAAGGGUGCGUAGGCGGGACUGCAAGUCAGACGUGAAAUACCGAGGCUUAACUUCGGGGCUGCGUUUGAAACUGUGGUUCUUGAGUGAAGUAGAGGCAGGCGGAAUUCCUAGUGUAGCGGUGAAAUGCGUAGAUAUUAGGAGGAACACCAGUGGCGAAGGCGGCCUGCUGGGCUUUAACUGACGCUGAAGCACGAAAGCAUGGGGAGCAAACAGGAUUAGAUACCCUGGUAGUCCAUGCCGUAAACGAUGAUAGCUAGGUGUGGGGGGACUGACCCUUCCGUGCCGCAGCAAACGCAAUAAGCUAUCCACCUGGGGAGUACGACCGCAAGGUUGAAACUCAAAUGAAUUGACGGGGUCAUAGCUG
rnacentral:rRNA from 1 species